GGCAUAGCUCCUCAGAAUUUCGGAAAGCUGCAGCCAGUGGUUGGAAAGACUGCCUUGGCAAUAGCAUCACCAAGCCCAGAGAACGCAUCUCUAAAGGCACUUUGGAAUCCUACAGAAGAAUGCUCCCACUGGAAGGGUGCGGCUUCCUUCUUCCAGUGACUGUGGAUCACUUCAAGGGGCAGCCAGGAGCAGUUUCUCAAGCAACUUUCCUUGCAGCCCUAAUAAGAAAUUACCAAGGAAUCAGUUUGGACACUCUCCAGUGUUUAUGAGCAUCUUAAAUUCUCUGUUCUCUGUGGUCUAAGUGAAUUGGAAAUUCAAACUGGACUUUAAUCGAAUUUGGCAUAAAAGACCAGGACACCAAAAUUAUCCAUUCUCUCCACAAAAAGGAAGCUUUGAAGUGCAGCCAGGACGAGGGAGGCUGCCCCAUCUUGGAGGUGCAUUCACUUGUAAUUUACUCCUCCACGUGGGCUCUGGAGCUCCAGUCUCGUAAGUAC